UCAGGGCUAUCAAUUGUUUUUGUCACUGGCAGUCUUUGAAAUACAAUCUUGCUCUGUGGCCUUUACUGACAAGUUGGCUUUUACUACAUAUGUGGCACUGACACUUCUUUAAUUAAUGCACCAGUCAAUGUAAACCCCCCAACCAGGGAGGCGCAGGGAUUUUGACUUGGAGGGGUAGUAAAAAAGCGAAAUUGUCCCCGCCCCCAGGGACGUCAAUGUCCCCUGCAUGUCUCUUAACCCCAGGAAAAUAGUUUUGUAUAAUCAUAGAUCAGCAAUAGAAAAUCAAAUUCAUUUAUGUUGUUGUAUUUAAACUUUUCUUGUCAAGAAAACUAAAACAGCAACACAGGAUAUAUAUUUUAACCACUGUCCAAGUCUCCCAUCAUCGGGGACAAAUUUAUAAUCAAAACUGACCACUUUCCCCGUUAAACCUUACGCCCCUCCCCGGUUGGGGGCAGGGAUUUACAUUGACUGGUGCAUAACUAGAUGAUUGCAUGAAGCAUUGCAUGGAAGUUGAUUUAUAAUUAGUUUAUGAAUAAACUCACACUUUCAUUAUAAUGGUUCAGGGCUGCAAAUAAAUAUUUGAUUUGACAGGACAUUUGUCCGAUCACUUUUAAUUUUGGUCGGACAUAACUUGAAUUGGGUCGGACAAAAACCAACAUCACUAAAUUUGGUCGGACAUACAUGUCACAAGAUAUAUAGAAGUCACAAGACAAGUAUGUAUGCCAUUCUGGCGCAACGUUAAGUAAAAGUAAAUGCGAGAACGCCUCGUAAAUUUUAUUGCAAAAUGCAAAUUGAGUGAAUUUGCAAUUGGAUUUUGUCACAACAAAAAAAUGUAUGUGACAAUUUUUUUUAUGUGAUUGGACUAAUGUCCAAUCAAAAUUACUUUUACUCGGACAUUUGCCAAAUUUAGUCGGACAUUGUCCGAUGUCCGACAGUAAUUUGCAGCCCUGAUGGUUGAUCGAAUAUAUCAAAUGCAUUUGAUUGGUUGAUGGUCCCUUAAUGGUAAUGGUAGUCAAAUCUCAACCUAUAUAAAUAAUGUCAAUAUACUGGAAAAGUAUCAAAUUAAAUUUUAAUUGUCAAUGUUGUGGGAAGUAAAUAAAUCAAACAAUUCUGCUUGUUUCAACUAAACUAGUUCACUAUCACUUUGGUUUUCAAAUCAAAGAAUCUUUAGCCUGGUUGAGCUUUUGAAAAAGUAGCUGCUUGAUUGAACGCAAGAUUAUUUUACUCUGUCUAACGCCAGACAAUU